GAUGAACGCUAGCGAUAGGCUUAACACAUGCAAGUCGAGGGGCAUCACGAAUUAGCAAUAGUUUGGUGGCGACCGGCGCACGGGUGCGUAACACGUAUACAACCUACCUUCAAUUGGGGGAUAACCUGGAGAAAUUCGGACUAAUACCCCAUAGUAAACGGAAGAGGCAUCUUUUUUGUUUUAAAGAUUUAUUGAUUGGAGAUGGGUAUGCGUAGGAUUAGCUAGUUGGUAAGGUAACGGCUUACCAAGGCGACGAUCCUUAGGGGUUCUGAGAGGAAGGUCCCCCACACUGGUACUGAGACACGGACCAGACUCCUACGGGAGGCAGCAGUGAGGAAUAUUGGUCAAUGGUCGAGAGACUGAACCAGCCAAGUCGCGUGAAGGAAGACGGCUCUAUGAGUUGUAAACUUCUUUUGUACAGGAGUAAAGUGAGACACGCGUGUUUUAUUGCAAGUACUGUACGAAUAAGCAUCGGCUAACUCCGUGCCAGCAGCCGCGGUAAUACGGAGGAUGCAAGCGUUAUCCGGAUUUAUUGGGUUUAAAGGGUGCGUAGGCGGUAUUACAAGUCAGGGGUGAAAUCUUGGUGCUUAACAUUAAAAUUGCCUUUGAAACUGUGGUACUUGAGUGUAAAAGAGGUAGGCGGAAUGUGUUGUGUAGCGGUGAAAUGCAUAGAUAUAACACAGAACCCCGAUUGCGAAGGCAGCUUACUAUCAUACAACUGACGCUGAUGCACGAAAGCGUGGGGAUCAAACAGGAUUAGAUACCCUGGUAGUCCACGCAGUAAACGAUGAUUACUAGCUGUUAGCGAUAUACUGUUAGUGGCUAAGCGAAAGCGAUAAGUAAUCCACCUGGGGAGUACGUUCGCAAGAAUGAAACUCAAAGGAAUUGACGGGGGCCCGCACAAGCGGAGGAACAUGUGGUUUAAUUCGAUGAUACGCGAGGAACCUUACCCGGGCCUGAAAAUGCUAUCGACCGACGGAGAGAUUCGUUAUCCAGCAAAUGCGAUAGUGUAGGUGCUGCAUGGUUGUCGUCAGCUCGUGCCGUGAGGUGUCGGCUUUAGUGCCAUAACGAGCGCACCCCUGCCCAUUAGUUACCAGCG
rnacentral:rRNA from 1 species